rnacentral:lncRNA from 1 species
GUUGAAGGCUUUAAGGGGAAGAACCAAGGUUUCCCGAAGAAGGAAUUAUGGCUCCAGACUGCAACAUAGAAAUUCUGCCUGAGUUUCCAGACUUUGGACUCAAGACUGAUACAUUACCUCUUAUGGAUCUCCAGGCUACUGGCUUGUCCUGUGGAUUACAGACUUGCCAGCUCCCAGAACUGAGAGAUUCCUAUCUAACCUAUAUUCUGGAAGGAGCUCAAGACCACCUUUCGUGCAGGACAUAGAAACACAGAGGAAGAUGAUCUGAAGACACAGGGAGAAGACAGCUAUCUGAGGCCAGGAGAGAAGCUGCAGAAGGUAUCAGCCCUACUGGCACCUUGAUCUUGGACUUCCAGCCUCCAGAACUGUGAGAAAAUAACUUUCUGUGGUAUUAGUCACCUACUCUGUGGCAUUUUGUUAAAGCAGCCACAGGAAACCAAUACAGGAAAUUAAUGACAAGGUAUUCUCUCUAUCUCUAUCUCUGUCUCUGUCUCUGUCUCUGUCUCUGUCUCUAUCUCUCUGUAAUCUAUAUCUAUAACAUCUAUAUCUGUAUCUAUACUGC